GAUGAACGCUAGCUACAGGCUUAACACAUGCAAGUCGAGGGGCAGCAUGACGGAAGCUUGCUUCCGUUGAUGGCGACCGGCGCACGGGUGAGUAACGCGUAUCCAACCUGCCCUUGUCCAUCGGAUAACCCGUCGAAAGGCGGACUAACACGAUAUGCAGUUCUCAGCAGGCAUCUAACGAGAACGAAAUGUGAAGGAGAAGGAUGGGGAUGCGUCUGAUUAGCUUGUUGGCGGGGUAACGGCCCACCAAGGCGACGAUCAGUAGGGGUUCUGAGAGGAAGGUCCCCCACAUUGGAACUGAGACACGGUCCAAACUCCUACGGGAGGCAGCAGUGAGGAAUAUUGGUCAAUGGGCGAGAGCCUGAACCAGCCAAGUAGCGUGCAGGAUGACGGCCCUAUGGGUUGUAAACUGCUUUUAUACGGGGAUAAAGUGGGCCACGUGUGGCUUAUUGCAGGUACCGUAUGAAUAAGGACCGGCUAAUUCCGUGCCAGCCGCCGCCGUAA
rnacentral:rRNA from 1 species